GAGAAAUCUGAAAUAGAAUUUGCAAACUUGAACUGGGUUACAGAGAGUUAAUAAGAACCCAAAGAAACAUGGAAACUAUUAUUAUCUAGGAAACAAUCCAUAGCGAAAACAAAAUUAACUCUCCUAACUGACUAGAAUUUAAAUCAAGGAAAAUUAGAAUAUACGACGUUGUAUCACAUACGGUAUUUAGACAUCAAGAAAAGAAUCCCUCUAUCUGUGAACCACACUUGCCAGGAAAUUAACACCAGGGGAAUACCACCACCUCAUACUAUUUCUUAGGUGUCUCAGAGUUUGAUGAGGACUUCCAUGCUGUGUCUCUUCGACAGGCAGCAAAAUUGGGCAAUUGACUACAUCAACUCCAACAAAUUUAUGCAGCCACCUUCCUCCGGACCAUCCUGUUUCUUCGCGCUUUAGUUGCCCCUAUUUCCCAUUAUCUUGUUUGACGCCAAGGAGCCCAAGCCCAGAAACAAUGGCAUUCUUUGGUAUCAACCACCUGGAGACUUUGGUAUCAAGCCUGUUGUGCAAGGCUUCUUCAAAAGGUCAUCCGUUGAUCUUUCUCCUAAUUAGACAUUCAAAACCCUGCAUGGAAUCCAUUUGAGAAGUUGGACAAUAGACAAAGUCCAACACAUAUAGACAGUAAAGAAGAAUUCAGACCGCACUCACUGUGGCUGAACAAAUGGGCCUAUUAAGCCUAUUAAAAGUUGGAACCAUAUUCACCACUCGCAUUUCCUUAGAGAACUAUAUCAGAAUUCUGUAAAUUGAAAACUAUUCUUACAUAUUUAACUGUAAAACAAGAGAAAUUAUACUUCCGUAGCAAAGUCUCACUAUUGGUAAGUAUCUGGACUUGGAAAGGAUGCUAGUUGAUCAAGUAAAGGAAAAUUGACAUCAGACUUUGAUGUGAUAGAUAUAUACACUUCAAUAGGAACCACAUUAACAACUUAUGAGACAAACAAACAAAUUCCCCAGUCAAAGUUCAACAAACAAAACAUUAAAACAAGAGUAGGUUGGUCUAUCAAUGUAUAUAUAGAGAUGUCGAUCAAUUGACAAAUACAUCAAGAGUAGGUUGGUCUAUCAAUGUAUAUAUAGAGAUGUCGAUCAAUUGACAAAUACAUCAAGAGUAGGUUGGUCUAUCAAUGUAUAUAUAGAGAUGUCGAUCAAUUGACAAAUACAUCAAGAGUAGGUUGGUCUAUCAAUGUAUAUAUAGAGAUGUCGAUCAAUUGACAAAUACAUCAAGAGUAGGUUGGUCUAUCAAUGUAUAUAUAGAGAUGUCGAUCAAUUGACAAAUACAUCAAGAGUAGGUUGGUCUAUCAAUGUAUAUAUAGAGAUGGCGAAGAAUCUUGCAUCUUAUCAAGUGGGGAAAGCCUUCGCAACAAAGAUGCUGCUUGCUUUCAAGCAAUAAUAAUUUUCCAAUUCCAUAAGGUAGCUUAAUGCCUUUUAAGAAUAUCUGCACCAGCCUAACAAUUAAUCAUGGAAAUUCAAUUUGCAUUUAUCACCUUUAAUUUGCUCAUCUUUGUCUCGAGUAUUGUUUUUGCGUUAACUUAACUAGCUUGCAAACCACCUGCAAAUGGUUUUAAAUAAUGUGUGAGAUUGUGAGGUCGAACGAAUUAAUCAAAUAUGAUGACAGGAGAAACAAAAUUGAAAUAACCACAAGUAGAAGUAUACUUUUGUUAUAUUUAUAGCAUCUUCUACUGUCUUCUUUUCCUUUAGCUCUGUUUCUGUGUUUGCUCAAUCGCGAUGCCUCAAUCUUUUGCAGCCAUAUGCAGACUUGAAACACCGGGGUGUCCCUAAGGAACUUGAAAAUUAGAAAAGUUUCAGUAUGAGUGACUAAAUAUGAUAAUCGAAACUAAUUUAAUAUACACACCUUGUAAAUCUGAAACUAAAUUACUCAAAUGUAUAUGCCUCUUGGCAGCAAUUGCUCGUGGUGGAAAGUUUACUGCAAAGACUUCCUCAAACCUGUGAAGCUCACACACUUCCUGGCAACAAAGAAACAGAGUCAAUAUACGAAGAUGAUUUUACUAACAAGUGAGAGCUUGCAAAUAUUGGAAGGAUAACGAUUACUCAUAACCCAAAUACCCAAUACCUUCUAAUAUCUCACUCACGUGAGUUCAAGCUCCCAAAAUUCAUUACAGUGAAACUCUCACAACAUAAUUGUCUUCAAAUAUUCUCUACUCAACGAAUUAAUUAAAUAUGAUGACAGGAGAAACAAAAUUAAAAUAACCACAAGAAGUAGAAAUAUACUUUUGUUAUAUUCAGAGCAUCUCCUACUGUCUUCAUUUCCCUUAGCUCUGUUUCCUUUUGUGCUCGAACGCAAUGCCUCAAGGCUCAAGAUAAUUUGAUGACCAUCAAUCUUUUUGCAGCCACAUGUAGACUUGAAAAACUGUUGGCGGCCCUAAAGAACUUGAAAAUUAGAAAAGAUUCAGAAUGAGUGACUAAAUAUUAUAAUCGAAACUAAUUAAACAAACGCGCCUUGAAAAUCUGAAACUGAAUUACUCAAAUGUAUAUGCCCCUUCACAGCAAUUGCACGUGGUGGAUGUU
rnacentral:lncRNA from 1 species